CAGUGAACGGGGCGCAAGCCUGCUCCGCCCUGCCGCGUGAGUGAUGAAGGCCUUCGGGUUGUAAAGCCCUUUUGGCGGGGACGAUGAUGACGGUACCCGCAGAAUAAGCCCCGGCAAACUUCGUGCCAGCAGCCGCGGUAAGACGAAGGGGGCAAGCGUUGUUCGGAAUCACUGGGCGUAAAGGGCGCGUAGGCGGUUCUUUAAGUCAGGCGUGAAAGCCCUGGGCUCAACCUGGGAGCGGCGCUUGAUACUGGGGGACUAGAGAGUGGGAGAGGUUGGUGGAAUUCCCAGUGUAGAGGUGAAAUUCGUAGAUAUUGGGAAGAACACCGGUGGCGAAGGCGGCCAACUGGACCAUUUCUGACGCUGAGGCGCGAAA
rnacentral:rRNA from 1 species